GAUGAACGCUAGCUACAGGCUUAACACAUGCAAGUCGAGGGGAAACGGCAUUAAGUGCUUGCACUUUUUGGACGUCGACCGGCGCACGGGUGAGUAACGCGUAUCCAACCUUCCCAUGACUAAGGGAUAACCUGCCGAAAGGCAGACUAAUACCUUAUGGUCUUCACUGACGGCAUCAGAUGUGAAGUCAAGAUUUAUCGGUUAUGGAUGGGGAUGCGUCUGAUUAGCUUGUUGGCGGGGUAACGGCCCACCAAGGCAACGAUCAGUAGGGGUUCUGAGAGGAAGGUCCCCCACAUUGGAACUGAGACACGGUCCAAACUCCUACGGGAGGCAGCAGUGAGGAAUAUUGGUCAAUGGGCGAGAGCCUGAACCAGCCAAGUAGCGUGCAGGAUGACGGCCCUAUGGGUGGUAAACUGCUUUUGUAUGGGGAUAAAGUCAAUCACGUGUGAUUGUUUGCAGGUACCAUACGAAUAAGGACCGGCUAAUUCCGUG
rnacentral:rRNA from 1 species